AUACGGAGGAUCCGAGCGUUAUCCGGAUUUAUUGGGUUUAAAGGGUGCGCAGGCGGCCAUUUAAGUCAGCGGUUAAAUCGUGGGGCUCAACCCCAUUCUGCCGUUGAUACUGGGUGGCUUGAUUGCGGUCGAGGUUGGCGGAAUUCGUUGUGUAGCGAUGAAAUGCAUAGAUAUGACGAAGAACACCGAUUGCGUAGGCAGCUGACCAGGCCGCAAAUGACGCUCAUGCACGAAAGUGCGGGGAUCGAACAGGAUUAGAUACCCUGGUAGUCCGCACAGUAAACGAUGAAUACUUGUUUUCGGCGAUAUAAUGUCGGAGGCAAAGCGAAAGCGAUAAGUAUUCCACCUGGGGAGUACGCCGGCAACGGUGAAACUCAAAUGAAUUGGCGGGG
rnacentral:rRNA from 1 species